rnacentral:rRNA from 1 species
GUGGUUCGGACGCUCUCGGGCGACUGAGCUGUGGGGAGUUGUUUAAACCUCAUCAUUUAGAGGAAGGUGAAGUCGUAACAAGGUUUCCGUAGGUGAACCUGCGGAAGGAUCAUUA